AAUUCACUCAGAACUAACAAGAAUGAUAACAUGCUCCGACUGGAGCGGUUUAGGAACUGCUGGAAGGCUCUAGGGGAAUAAAGAUGGAAUGACUUCUAAUUUUUAGGUCCGUAUGAUUUGAAAUACUUGCACACAAACCACGCGAAAGCGUUCCUGGAAAUCUCAGCCCAAAAAAGGACGUUUAGUAAUUCUAAAAGGGACUACAGGAUGAAAAACAAUAGUUUUGGCAGUUAAAGUUUGAGAUUCGACAGUGCCGUAGAUCCGUUUGGUCAUCAGGUAUUACGAGCCACACCCAUGUCUAGCUAGAAUAGUGUGCUAGGCUCAGGCUAGAGAAGAAACGGGGAACAAACUGAUGAAAGAAUGAUCAAACCGAGGGAAUUCACUCAGAACUAACAAUAAUGAUAACGUGCUCCGACUGGUGCGGUUUAGGAACUGCUGGAAGGCUCUAGGGGAAUAAAGAUGGAAUGACUUCUAAUUUUUAGGUCCGUAUGAUUUGAAAUACUUGCACACAAACCGCGCGAAAGCGUUCCUGGAAAUCUCAGCCCAAAAAAGGACGUUUAGUAAUUUUAAAAGGGACUAUAGGAUGAAAAACAAUAGUUUUGGCAAUUAAAGUUUGAGAUUCGACGGUGUCGUAGAUCCGUUUGGUCAUCAGGUGUUACGAGCCACACCCAUGUCUAGCUAGAAUAGUAUGUCAGGCUCAGGUUAGAGUAGAAACGGGGAACAAACUGAUGAAAGAAUGAUCAUACCAAGGGAAUUCACUCAGAACUAUCAAGAAUGAUAACGUGCUCCGACUGGAGUGAUUUAGGAACUGCUGGAAGGCUCUAGGGGAAUAAAGAUGGAAUGACUUCUAAUUUUUACGUCCGUAUGAUUUGAAAUACUUGCACACAAAUCACGCAAAAGCGUUCCUGGAAAUCUCAGCCUAAAAAAGGACGUUUAGUAAUUCUAAAAGGGACUACAGGAUGAAAAACAAUAGUUUGGGCAGUUAAAAUUUGAGAUUCGACGGUGCCGUAGAUCCGUUUGGUCAUCAGGUGUUACGAGCGACACCCUUGUCUAGCUAGAAUAGUGUGUUAGGCUCAGACUAGAGAAGAAACGGGGAACAAAGUGAUGAAAGAAUGAUCAUACCGAGGGAAUUCACUCAGAACUAACAAGAAUGAUAACGUGCUCCGACUGGAGCGGUUUAGUAACUGCUGGAAGGCUCUAGGGGAAUGAAGAUGGAAUGACUUCUAAUUUUUAGGUCCGUAUGAUUUGAAAUACAUGCACACAAACCCUGAGAAAGCGUUCCUGGAAAUCUCGGUCGAAAAAAGGAUGUUUAAUAAUUCUAAAAGGGACUACCGGAUGAAAAACAAUAGUUUUGGCAGUUAAAGUUUGUGAUUCGAUGGUGCCGUAGAUCUGUUUGGUCAUCAGGUGUUACGAGCCACACCCAUGUCUAUCUAGAAUAGUGUGUUAGGCUCAGGCUAGAGCAGAAACGGGGAACAGACUUAUGAAAGAAUGAUCAUACCGAGGGAAUUCACUCAGAACUAACAAGAAUGAUAACGUGCUCCGACUGGCGCGGUUUAGGAACUGCUGGAAGGCUCUAGGGGAAUAAAGAUGGAAAGACUUCUAAUUUUUAGGUCCGUAUGAUUUGAAAUACUUGCACACAAACCGCACGAAAGCGUUCCUGGAAAUCUCAGCCUAAAAAGGAUGUUUAGUAAUUCUAAAAGGGACUACAAGAUGAAAAAUAAUAGUUUGGGCAGUUAAAAUUUGAGAUUCGACGAUGCCGUAGAUCCGUUUGGUCAUCAGGUGUUAUGAGCCACACCCAUGUCUAGCUAGAAUAGUGUGUUAGGCUCAGGCUAGAGAAGAAACGGGGAACAAACUGAUGAAAGAAUGAUCAUACCGAGGGAAUUCACUCAGAACUAACAAGAAUGAUAACGUGCUCCGACUGGAGCAGUUUAGAAACUGCUGGAAGGCUCUAAUGGAAUAAAGAUGGAAUGCCUUCAAAUUUCUAGGUCCGUAUGAUUUGAAAUACUUGCACACAAACCGCUCGAAAGCGUUCCUGGAAAUCUCAGCCCAAAAAAGGACGUUUAGUAAUUCUAAAAGGGACUACAGGAUGAAAAACAAUAGUUUUGGCAGUUAAAGUUUGAGAUUCGAUGGUGCCGUAGAUCCGUUUGGUCAUCAGGUGUAACGAGCCACACACAUGUCUAGCUAGAGUAGUGUGCUAGGCUCAGACUAGAGAAGAAACGGGGAACAAAGUGAUGAAAGAAUGAUCAUACCGAGGGAAUUCACUCAGAACUUACAAGAAUGAUAACGUGCUCCGACUGGAGCGCUUUAGUAACUGCUGGAAGGCUCUAGGCGAAUAAAGAUGGAAUGACUUCUAAUUUUUAGGUCCGUAUGAUUUGAAAUACUUGCACACAAACCACGCAAAACCGUUCCUAGAAAUCUCGGUCGAAAAAAGGACGUUUAGUAAUUCUAAAAGGGACUACAGGAUGAAAAACAAUAGUUUUGGCAGUUAAAGUUUGAGAUUCGAUGGUGCCGUAGAUCCGUUUGGUCAUCAGGUGUUACGAGCCACACCCAUGUCUAGCUAGAGUAGUGUGCUAGGUUCAGACUAGAGAAGAAACGGGGAACAAAGUGAUUAAAGAAUGAUCAUACCGAGGGAAUUCACUCAGAACUAACAAGAAUGAUAACGUGCUCCGACUGGAGCGGUUUAGGAACUGCUGGAAGGCUCUAGGGGAAUAAAGAUGGAAUGACUUCUAAUUUUUACGUCCGUAUGAUUUGAAAUACAUGCACACAAACCACGCAAAAGCGUUCCUGGAAAUCUCAGCCUAAAAAAGGACGUUUAGUAAUUCUAAAAGGGACUACAGGAUGAAAAAUAAUAGUUUGGGCAGUUAAAAUUUGAGAUUCGACGCUGCCGUAGAUCCGUUUGGUCAUCAGGUCUUACGAGCCACACCCAUGUCUAGCUAGAAUAGUGUGUUAGGCUCAGGCUAGAGAAGAAACGGGGAACAAACUGAUGAAAGAAUGAUCAUACCGAGGGAAUUCACUCAGAACUAACAAGAAUGAUAACGUGCUCCGACUGGAGCAGUUUAGAAACUCCUGGAAGGCUCUAGGGGAAUAAAGAUGGAAUGACUUCAAAGUUUUAGGUCCGUAUGAUUUGAAAUACUUGCACACAAACCGCGUGAAAGCGUUCCUGGAAAUCUCAACCCAAAAAAGGGCGUUUAGUAAUUCUAAAAGGGACUACAGGAUGUAAAACAAUAGUUUUGGCAGUUAAAGUUUGAGAUUCGAUGGUGCCGUAGAUCCGUUUGGUCAUCAGGUGUAACGAGCCACACCCAUGUCUAGCUAGAGUAGUGUGCUAGGCUCAGACUAGAGAAGAAACGGGGAACAAAGUGAUGAAAGAAUGAUCAUACCGAGGGAAUUCACUCAUAACUAACAAGAAUGAUAACGUGCUCUGACUUGAGCGGUUUAGGAACUGCUGGAAGGCUAUAGGGGAAUAAAGAUGGAAUGACUUCAAAUUUUUAGGUCCGUAUGAUCUGAAAUACUUGCACACAAACCGCGAGAAAGCGUUCCUGGAAAUCUCAACCCAAAAAAGGACGUUUAGUAAUUCUAAAAGGGACUACAGGAUGAAAAACAAUAGUUCUGGCAGUUAUUGUUUGAGAUUCGAUAAUCUCGUAGAUCCGUUUGGUCAUCAGGUGUAACGAGCCACACCCAUGUCUAGCUAGAGUAGUGUGCUAGGCUCAGACUAGAGAAGAAACGGGGAACAAACUGAUGAAAGAAUGAUCAUACCGAGGGAAUUCACUUAGAACUAACAAGAAUGAUAACGUGCUCCGACUGGAGCGGUUUAGGAACUGCUGGAAGGCUCUAGGGGAAUAAAGAAGGAACGACUUCUAAUUUUUAGGUCCGUAUGAUUUGAAAUAUGUGCACACAAACCACGAGAAAGCGUUCCUAGAAAUCUCGGCCCAAAAGAGGACGUUUAGUAUUCUAAAAGGGACUACAGAAUGAAAAACAAUAGUUUUGGCAGUUAAAGUUUGAGAUUUGACGGUGCCGUAGAUCUGUUUGGUCAUCAGGGGUUACGAGCCACACCCAUGUCUAGCUAGAAUAGUGUGUUAGGCUCAGGCUAGAAAAGAAACGGGGAACAAAGUGAUGAAAGAAUGAUCAUACCGAGGGAAUUCACUCAGAACUAACAAGAAUGAUAACAUGCUCCGACUGGAGCGGUUUAGGAACUGCUGGAAGGCUCUAGGGGAAUAAAGAUGGAAUGACUUCUAAUUUUUAGGUCCGUAUGAUUUGAAAUACUUGCACACAAACCGCGCGAAAGCGUUCCUGGAAAUCUCAGCCCAAAAAAGGACGUUUAGUAAUUCUAAAAGGGACUACAGGAUGAAAAACAAUAGUUUUGGCAGUUAAAGUAUGAGAUUCAACGGUGCCGUAGAUCCGUUUGGUCAUUAGGUGUUACGAGCCACACCCAUGUCUAGCUAGAAUAGUGUGCUAGGCUCAGGCUAGAGAAGAAACGGGGAACAAACUGAUGAAAGAAUGAUCAAACCGAGGGAAUUCACUCAGAACUAACAAUAAUGAUAACGUGCUCCGACUGGAGCGGUUUAGGAACUGCUGGAAGUCUCUAGGGGAAUAAAGAUGGAAUGACUUCUAAUUUUUACGUUCGUAUGAUUUGAAAAACUUGCCCAUAAACCGCGCGAAAGUGUUCCUGGAAAUCUCAGCCCAAAAAAGGACGUUUAGUAAUUUUAAAAGGGACUACACGAUGAAAAACAAUAGUUUUGGCAGGUAAAGUUUGAGAUUCGACAGUGCCGUAGAUCCGUUUGGUCAUCAGGUGUUACGAGCCACACCCAUGUCUAGCUAGAAUAGUAUGUUACGCUCAGGUUAGAGAAGAAACGGGGAACAAACUGAUGAAAGAUGAUCAUACCAAGGGAAUUCACUCAGAACUAACAAGAAUGAUAACGUGCUCCGACUGGAGCGGUUUAGGAACUGCUGGAAGGCUCUAGGGGAAUAAAGAUGGAAUGACUUCUAAUUUUUACGUCUGUAUGAUUUGAAAUACUUGCACACAAACAACGCAAAAGCAUUCCUGGAAAUCUCAUCCUAAAAAAGGACGUUUAGUAAUUCUAAAAGGGACUACAGGAUGAAAAAUAAUAGUUUGGGAAGUUAAAAUUUGAGAUUCGAUAGUGCCGUAGAUCCGUUUGGUCAUCAGGUGUUAGGAGCCACACCCAUGUCUAGCUAGAAUAGUGUGUUAGGCUCAGGCUAGAGAAGAAACAGGGAACAAACUGAUGAAAGAAUGAUCAUACCGAGGGAAUUCACUCAGAACUAGCAAGAAUGAUAACGUGCUCCGACUGGAGCAGUUUUGAAACUGCUGGAAGGCUCUAGGGGAAUAAUGAUGGAAUGACUUCUAAGUUUUUGGUCCGUAUGAUUUGAAAUACGUGCACACAAACCCAGAGAAAGUGUUCUUGGAAAUCUCGGCCGAAAAAAGGAUGUUUAAUAAUUCUAAAAGGGACUACAGGAUGAAAAACAAUAGUUUUGGCAGUUAAAGUUUGUGAUUCGAUGGUGCUGUAGAUCUGUUUGGUCAUCAGGUGUUAUGAGCCACACCCAUGUCUAGCUAGAACAGUGUGUUAGGCUCAGGCUAGAGCAGAAACGGGGAACAAACUUAUGAAAGAAUGAUCAUACCGAGGGAAUUCACUCAGAACUAACAAGAAUGAUAACGUGCUCCGACUGGAGAGGUUUAGGAACUGCUGGAAGGCUCUAGGGGAAUAAAGAUGGAAUGACUUCAAAUUUUUAGGUCUGUAUGAUCUGAAAUACUUGCACACAAACCGCGAGAAAGCGUUCCUGGAAAUCUCAGCCCAAAAAAGGACGUUUAGUGAUUCUAAAAGGGACUACGGGAUAAAAAACAAUAGUUUUGGCAGUUAAAGUUUGAGAUUCGAUAAUGCCGUAGAUCCGUUUGGUCAUCAGGUGUAACGAGCCACACCCAUGUCUAGCUAGAGUAGUGUGCUAGGCUCAUACUAGAGAAGAAAUGGGGAACAAACUGAUGAAAGAAUGAUCAUACCGAGGGAGUUCACUCAAAACUAACAUGAAUGAUAACGUGCUCCGACUGGAGCGGUUUAGGAACUGCUGGAAGGCUCUAGGGGAAUAAAGAUGGAAUGACUUCUAAUUUUUAGGUCCGUAUGAUUUGAAAUACAUGCACACAAACCCCAAGAAAGCGUUCCUGGAAAUCUCGCCCCGAAAAACGACGUUUAGUAAUUCUAAAAGGGACUAUAGGAUGAAAAACAAUAGUUUUGGCAGUUAAAGUUUGAGAUUUGACGGUGCCGUAGAUCUGUUUGGUCAUCAGGUGUUACGAGCCACACCCAUUUCUAGCUAGAAUAGUGUGUUAGGCUCAGGCUAGAAAAGAAACGGGGAACAAAGUGAUGAAAGAAUGAUCAUACCGAGGGAAUUCACUCAGAACUAACAAGAAUGAUAACAUGGUCCGACUGGAGCGGUUUAGGAACUGCUGGAAGGCUCUAGGGGAAUAAAGAUGGAAUGACUUCUAACUUUUAGGUCCGUAUGAUUUGAAUUACUUGCACACAAACCGCGCGAAAGCGUUCCUGGAAAUCUCAGCCCAAAAAAGGACGUUUAGUAAUUCUAAAAGGGACUACAGGAUGAAAAACAAUAGUUUUGGCAGUUAAAGUUUGAGAUUCGACGGUGCCGUAGAUCCGUUUGGUCAGCAGGUGUUACGAGCCACACCCAUGUCUAGCUAGAGUAGUGUGCUAGGUUCAGACUAGAGAAGAAAUGUUGGGGAACGUAGCAGAAAUUCAAAAUUUUCCUACGUGUCACCAAGAUCUAUCUAUGGAGAGACUAGCAACGAGGGAAGGAGAGUGCAUCUACAUACCCUUGUAGAUCGCUAAGCGGAAGCGUUCAAGUGAACGGGGUUGAUGGAGUCGUACUCGUCGUGAUUCAGCUCACCGAUGAUCCUAGUGCCGAACGGACGGCACCUCCGCGUUCAACACACGUACAGCUCGACGAUGUCUCCCACGCCUUGAUCCAGCAAGGAGAGAGGGAGAGGUUGAGGAAGACUCCAUCCAGCAGAAGCACAACGGCGUGGUGGUGAUGGAGGAGCAUGGCAAUCCUGCAGGGCUUCGCCAAGCACCUAUGGGAGAGGAGGAGGUGUCACGGGAGGGAGGGAGGCGCCAAGGGCUCAGGUAUAGAUGCCCUCCCUCCCCUCCACUAUAUAUAGGGGCAAGGGAGAGGGGGGAGGCGCAGCCUUGCCCCUUCCUCCAAGGAAGGGGUGCGGCUAAGAGGGGGGGAGGAGUCCAUCCUCCCCAAGGCACCUCGGAGGUGCCUUCCCCCUUUAGGACUCUCCCCUUUUUCCUAUAUCUUGGCGCAUGGGCCUCUAGGGGCUGGUUCCCUUGGCCCAUGUAGGCCCAGGCGCACCCCCUACAGCCCAUGUGGCCCCCCGGGGCAGGUGGCCCCACCUGGUGGGCCCCCGGGACCCUUCCGGUGGUCCCGGUACAAUACCGAUGACCCCGAAACUUGUCCCGAUGGCCGAAACAGGACUUCCUAUAUAUAAAUCUUUACCUCCGGACAAUUCCGGAACUCCUCGUGACGUCCGGGAUCUCAUCCGGGACUCCGAACAACAUUCGGUAACCACAUACAAACUUCCUUUAUAACCCUAGCGUCAUCGAACCUUAAGUGUGUAGACCCUACGGGUUCGGGAGACAUGUAGUCAUGACCGAGAUGUUCUCCGGUCAAUAACCAACAGCGGGAUCUGGAUACCCAUGUUGGCUCCCACAUGUUCCACGAUGAUCUCAUCGGAUGAACCACGAUGUCAAGGACUCAAUCAAUCCCGUAUACAAUUCCCUUUGUCUAGCGGUAUGGUACUUGCCCGAGAUUCGAUCGUCGGUAUACCGAUACCUUGUUCAAUCUCGUUACCGGCAAGUCUCUUUACUCAUUUCGUAACACAUCAUCCCGUGAUCAACCCCUUGGUCACAUUGUGCACAUUAUGAUGAUGUCCUACCGAGUGGGCCCAGAGAUACCUCUCCGUUUACACGGAGUGACAAAAUCCCAAUCUCGAUUCGUGCCAACCCAACAGACACUUUCAGAGAUACCCGUAGUGUACCUUUACAGCCACCCAGUUACGUUGUGACGUUUGGCACACCCAAAGCACUCCUACAGUAUCCGGGAGUUGCACAAUCUCAUGGUCUAAGGAAAUGAUACUUGACAUUAGAAAAGCUUUAGCAUACGAACUACAUGAUCUUGUGCUAGGCUUAGGAUUGGGUCUUGUCCAUCACAUCAUUCUCCUAAUGAUGUGAUCCCGUUAUCAACGACAUCCAAUGUCCAUGGUCAGGAAACCGUAACCAUCUAUUGAUUAACGAGCUAGUCAACUAGAGGCUUACUAGGGACAUGGUGUUGUCUAUGUAUCCACACAUGUAUCUAAGUUUCCUAUCAAUACAAUUCUAGCAUGGAUAAUAAACGAUUAUCAUGAACAAGGAAAUAUAAUAAUAAUCAAUUUAUUAUUGCCUCUAGGGCAUAUUUCCAACAGUCUCCCACUUGCACUAGAGUCAAUAAUCUAGUUCACAUCGAUAUGUGAUUAACACUCAAGGUCACAUUCCCAUGUGACUAACACCCAAGAGUUUACUAGAGUCAAUAAUCUAGUUCACAUUUACCAUGUGAUUAACACUUGAUGAGUUCUGGGUUUGAUCAUGUUAUGCUUGUGAGAGAGGUUAUAGUCAACGGGUCUGAACCUUUCAGAUCCGUGUGUGCUUUACAAAUCUCUAUGUCAUCUCCUAGAUGCAGCUACCACGUUCUAUUUGGAGCUAUUCCAAAUAACUGUUCUACUUGGAGCUAUUCUAAAUUGUUGCUCCAUUAUACGUAUCCGGUAUCUCUACUCAGAGCUAUCCGGAUAGGUGUUAAGCUUGCAUCGACGUAACCCUUUACGACGAACUCUUUUACCACCUCCAUAAUUGAGAAAAUUCCUUAGUCCACUAGUUACUAAGGAUAACUUUGACCGCUGUCCUGUGAUCCAUUCUUGGAUCACUCUUGUACCCCUUGACUGACUCAUGGUAAAGCACACUUCAGGUGCGGUACACAGCAUAGCAUACUGUAGAGCCUAUGUCUUAAGCAUAGGGGACGACCUUCGUUCCUUUCUCUCUAUUCUGCCAUGGUCGAGCUUUAAGUCUUAACUUCAUACCUUACAACUCAGGCAAGAACUCCUUCUUUGACUGAUCCAUCUUGAACACCUUCAAGAUCACGUCAAGGCAUGUGCUCACGUCAAGAUCACGUCGGUAUACCGAUACCUUGUUCAAUCUCGUUACCGGCAAGUCUCUUUACUCGUUCCGUAACACAUCAUCCCGUGAUCAACCCCUUGGUCACAUUGUGCACAUUAUGAUGAUGUCCUACCGAGUGGGCCCAGAGAUACCUCUCCGUUUACACGGAGUGACAAAAUCCCAAUCUCGAUUCGUGCCAACCCAACAGACACUUUCAGAGAUACCCGUAGUGUACCUUUAUAGCCACCCAGUUACGUUGUGACGUUUGGCACACCCAAAGCACUCCUACGGUAUCCGGGAGUUGCACAAUCUCAUGGUCUAAGGAAAUGAUACUUGACAUUAGAAAAGCUUUAGCAUACGAACUACAUGAUCUUGUGCUAGGCUUAGGAUUGGGUCUUGUCCAUCACAUCAUUCUCCUAAUGAUGUGAUCCCGUUAUCAACGACAUCCAAUGUCCAUGGUCAGGAAACCGUAACCAUCUAUUGAUUAACGAGCCAGUCAACUAGAGGCUUACUAGGGACAUGGUGUUGUCUAUGUAUCCACACAUGUAUCUGAGUUUCCUAUCAAUACAAUUCUAGCAUGGAUAAUAAACGAUUAUCAUGAACAAGGAAAUAUAAUAAUAAUCAAUUUAUUAUUGCCUCUAGGGCAUAUUUCCAACAGUCUCCCACUUGCACUAGAGUCAAUAAUCUAGUUCACAUCACCAUGUGAUUAACACUGACAGGUCACAUCACCAUGUGACCAACAUCCAAAGAGUCUUGGGUUUGAUCAUGUUGCUUGUGAGAGAGGUUAUAGUCAACGGGUCUGAACCUUUCAGAUCCGUGUGUGCUUUACAAAUCUCUAUGUCAUCUCCUAGAUGCAGCUACCACGUUCUAUUUGGAGCUAUUCCAAAUAACUGUUCUACUUGGAGCUAUUCUAAAUUGUUGCUCCAUUAUACGUAUCCGGUAUCUCUACUCAGAGCUAUCCGGAUAGGUGUUAAGCUUGCAUCGACGUAACCCUUUACGACGAACUCUUUUACCACCUCCAUAAUUGAGAAAAUUCCUUAGUCCACUAGUUACUAAGGAUAACUUUGACCGCUGUCCUGCGAUCCAUUCUUGGAUCACCCUUGUACCCCUUGACUGACUCAUGGUAAAGCACACUUCAGGUGCGGUACACAGCAUAGCAUACUGUAGAGCCUAUGUCUUAAGCAUAGGGGAUGACCUUCGUUCCUUUCUCUCUAUUCUGCCAUGGUCGAGCUUUAAGUCUUAACUUCAUACCUUACAACUCAGGCAAGAACUCCUUCUUUGACUGGUCCAUCUUGAACACCUUCAAGAUCAUGUCAAGGUAUGUGCUCAUUUGAAAGUACUAUUAAGCGUUUUGAUCUAUCCUUAUAGAUCUUGAUGCUCAAUGUUCAAGUAGCUUAAUCCAGGUUUUCCAUUGAAAACACUUUCCAAAUAACCCUAUAUGCUUUCCAGAAAUUCUACGUCAUUUCUGAUCAUUAAUAUGUCAACAACAUAUAAUCAUCAGAAAUUCUAUAGUGCUCCCACUCACUUCUUUGGAAAUACAAGUUUCUCAUAAACUUUGUAUACACCCAAAAUCUUUGAUCAUCAUCAAAGCAUACAUUCCAACUCCGAGAUGCUCACUCCAGUCCUCAGAAGGAUUGCUGGAGCUUUGCAUACUUAUUAGCAUAUUUCAGGAUAGACAAAACCUUCCAGUUGUAUCACAUACAACCUUUCCUCAAGAAUCGUCGACGAAACAAUGUUUUGACAUCCUAUCUGCAAGAUUUCAUAAAUAAUGCAGUAAUUGUUAAUAUAAUUCCAACAGACUCUUAGCAUCGCUACGAGUGAGAAAGUCUCAUUGUAGUCAACUCCUUGAACUUGUCAAAAAACAUCUUAACGACAAGUCGAGCUUUCUCAAUGGUGACACUUACCAUCAUUGUCUGUCUUCCUUUCAAAAUCCAUAUGUACCUAACAGCCUUACGACCAUCAAGUAGUUCUUCCAAAGUCUACACUUUGUUUUCAUACAUGGAUCCUCUCUCGGGUUUUAUGGCCAUGAGCCAUUUAUCGGAAUCCGGGCCCACCAUUGCUUCUCCAUAGCUCGUAGGUUCAUUGUUGUCUAGCAACAUGACUUCCAAGACAGGAUUACUGUACCACUCUGAAGUAGUACGUAUCCUUGUCACCCUACGAGGUUUGGGAGUGACUUGAUCUGAAGUUUCAUGAUCACUAUCAUAAGCUUCUACUUCAAUUGGUGUAGGUGCCACAGGAACAACUUCCUGUGCCCUGCUACACACUGGUUGAAGUGAUGGUUCAAUAACCUCAUCAAGUCUCCACCAUCCUCCCACUCAAUUCUUUCGAGAGAAACCUUUCCUCGAGAAAGGACCCAAUUCUAGAAACAAUUCAUAUUGCUUUCGGAUCUGAAUUAGGAAGUAUACCCAACUGUUUUGGGUGUCCUAUGAAGAUGUACUUUAUCCGCUUUGGUUUCGAGCUUAAUCCUGAAACUUUUUCACAUAAGUGUCGCAGCCCCAAACCUUUAAGAAACGACAACUUAGGUUUCUCUAAACCAUAAUUCAUACGGUGUCAUCUCAUCGGAAUUACGUGGUGCCCUAUUUAAAGUGAAUGUGGUUGUCUUUAAUGCCUAACCCAUAAACUAUCGUGGCAGUUCGAUAAGAGACAUCAUGGUAUGCAUCAUAUCCAAUAGGGUGCAACUAUGAUGUUCGGACACACCAUCACACUAUGGUGUUCCAGGCGGUAUUAAUUGUGAAACAAUUUCCACAAUGUCUUAAUUGUGUGCCAAAACUCGUAACUCAGAUACUCAUCUCUAUGAUCAUAUCAUAGACAUUUUAUCCUCUUGUCACAAUGAUCUUCUACUUCACUCUGAAAUUACUUGAACCAUUCAACAAUUCAGACUUGUGUUUCAUCAAGUAAAUAUUCUCAACAUCUACUCGAAUCAUCUGUGAAGUAAGAACAUAACGAUAUUCACUGCAUGCCUCAGCACUCAUUGGACUGCACACAUCAAAAUGUGUUACUUCCAACAAGUUGCUAUCUUGUUCCAUCUUACUGAAAACGAGGCUUUUCAGUCAUCUUGCCCAUGUGGUAUGAUUUGCAUGUCCCAAGUGAUUCAAAAAUCAAGUGAGUCAAAACGGUCCAUUUGCAUGGAGUUUCUUCAUGCAUAUACACCAAUAGACAUGGUUCGCAUGUCUCAAACUUUUCAAAAACGAGUGAGCCCAAAGAUCCAUCAAUAUGGAGCUUCUUCAUGCGUUUUAUACCGAUAUGACUUACGUGGUAGUGCCACAAGUAGGUGGUACUAUCAUUACUAUCUUUUGGCAUGAACAUGUGUAUCACUACGAUCGAGAUUUAAUAAACCAUUCAUUUUAGGUGUAAGACCAUUGAAGGUAUUAUUCAAAUAAACAGAGUAACCAUUAUUCUCCUUAAAUGAAUAACCGUAUUGCGAUAGACGUAAUCCAAUCAUGUCUAUGCUCAACGCAAACACCAAAUAACAAUUAUUUAGGUUUAACACCAAUCUCUUUGGUAGAGGGAGCGUGCGAUGCUUGAUCAUAUCAAGCAUGGAAAAACUUACAACACAUAUCGUCAGCUCACCUUUAGCUAGUCUCUGUUUAUUCCGUAGCCUUUUGUUUCGAGUUACUAACACUUAGCAACCGAACUGGUAUCUAAUACCCUGGUGCUACUAGGAGUACUAGCAAAGUACACAUUAACACAAUGUAUAUCCAAUAUACUUCUAUCGACCUUGCCAGCCUUCUUAUCUACCAAGUAUCUAGGGUAAUUCUGCUCUAGUAGUUGUUCCCCUUAUUACAGAAGCACUUAGUCUCGGGUUUGGGUUUUACCUUGGGUUUCUUCACUAGAGCAGCAGCUGAUUUGCCGUUUCAUGAAGUAUCCCUUCUUGCCCUUGCCCUUCUUGAAACUAGUGGUUCCACCAACCAUCAACAAUUGAUGCUCCUUCUUGAUUUCUACUUUCGCGGUGUCAAACAUCGCGAAUACCUCAAGGAUCAUCAUAUCUAUCCCUGAUAUGUUAUAGUUCAUCAUGAAGCUCUAACAGCUUGGUGGCAAUGACUUUGGAGAACCAUCACUAUCUCAUCUGGAAGAUCAACUCCCACUCGAUUCAAGCGAUUGUUGUACUCAGACAAUCUGAGCACAAGCUCAACGAUUGAGCUUUUCUCCCUUAGUUUGCAGGUUAAGAAAGUCAUCGGAGGUCUUAUACCUCUUGACAUGGGCACGAGCCUGAAAUCCCAAUUUCAGCCCUCAAAACAUCUCAUAUGUUUCGCGAUGUUUCAAAAACGUCUUUGGUGCCUCAACUCUAAACCGUUUAACUGAACUAUCACGUAGUUAUCAAAACGUGUAUGUCAGAUGUUCGCAACAACCACAGACAACGUUCGAGGUUCAGCACACUGAGCGGUGCAUUAAGGACAUAAGCCUUCUAUGAAGCAAUGAGGACAAUCCUCAGUUUACGGACCUAGUCCGCAUAAUUGCUACUAUCAACUUUCAACUAAUUUUUCUCUAGGAACAUAUCUAAACAGUAGAACUAUAGCGUGAGCUACGACAUAAUUUGCAAAAACCUUUUGACUAUGUUCAGGAUAAUUAAGUUCAUCUUAUGAACUCCCACUCAGAUAGACAUCCCUCUAGUCAUCUAAGUGAUUACAUGAUCCGAGUCAAACUAGGCCGUGUCCGAUCAUCACGUGAGACGGACUAGUCAUCAUCGGUGAACAUCUUCAUGUUGAUCGUAUCUUCUAUACGACUCAUGUUCGACCUUUCGGUCUUCGUGUUCCGAGGCCAUGUAUGUACAUGCUAGGCUCGUCAAGUUAACCCUAAGUGUUUCGCGUGUGUAAAUCUGUCUUACACCCGUUGUAUGUGAACGUUAGAAUCUAACACCCGAUCAUCACGUGGUGCUUCGAAACACGAACUGUCGCAACGGUGCACAGUUAGGGGAGAACACUUCUUGAAAUUGUUGUAAGGGAUCAUCUUAUUUACUACCGUCGUUCUAAGCAAAUAAGAUGUAUAAACAUGAUAAACAUCACAUGCAAUCAAAUAGUGACAUGAUAUGGCCAUCAUCACUUUGCUCCUUUUGAUCUCCAUCUUCGGGGCUCCAUGAUCAUCAUCGUCACCGGCAUGACACCAUGAUCUCCAUCAUCAUGAUCUCCAUCAUCGUGUCUUCAUGAAGUUGCCUCGCCAACUAUUACUUCUACUACUAUGGCUAACGGUUAGCAAUAAAGUAAAGUAAUUACAUGACGUUUAAGUUGACACGCAGGUCACAAAUGAAUAAAGACAACUCCUAUGGCUCCUGCCGGUUGUCAUACUCAUCGACAUGCAAGUCGUGAUUCCUAUUACAAGAACAUGAUCAAUCUCAUACAUCACAUAUAUCAUUCAUCACAUCCUUUUUGGCCAUAUCACAUCACAUAGCAUACCCUGCAAAAACAAGUUAGACGUCCUCUAAUUGUUGUUUGCAUGUUUUACGUGGCUGCUAUGGGUUUCUAGCAAGAACGUUUCUUACCUACGCAUGAACAACAACGUGAUAUGCCAAUUGCUAUUUACCCUUCAUAAGGACCCUUUUCAUCGAAUCCGAUCCGACUAAAGUGGGAGAGACAGACACCCGCCAGCCACCUUAUGCAACUAGUGCAUGUUUGUCGGUGGAACCGGUCUCACGUAAGCGUACGUGUAAGGUUGGUCCGGGCCGCUUCAUCCCACGAUGCCGCCGAAUCAAGAUAAGACUAGUAACGGCAAGCAUAUUGAACAAUAUCAACGCCCACAACUACUUUGUGUUCUACUCGUGCAAAGAAUCUACGCAAUAGACCUAGCUCAUGAUGCCACUGUUGGGGAACGUAGCAGAAAUUCAAAAUUUUCCUACGUGUCACCAAGAUCUAUCUAUGGAGAUACUAGCAACGAGGGAAGGAGAGUGCAUCUACAUACCCUUGUAGAUCGCUAAGCGGAAGCGUUCAAGUGAACGGGGUUGAUGGAGUCGUACUCGUCGUGAUUCAGAUCACCGAUGAUCCUAGUGCCGAACGGACGGCACCUCCGCGUUCAACACACGUACAGCUCGACGAUGUCUCCCACGCCUUGAUCCAGCAAGGAGAGAGGGAGAGGUUGAGGAAGACUCCAUCCAGCAGCAGCACAACGGCGUGGUGGUGAUGGAGGAGCGUGGCAAUCCUGCAGGGCUUCGCCAAGCACCUACGGGAGAGGAGGAGGUGUCACGGGAGGGAGGGAGGCGCCAAGGGCUCAGGUAUAGAUGCCCUCCCUCCCCUCCACUAUAUAUAGGGGCAAGGGAGAGGGGGAGGCGCAUCCUUGCCCCUUCCUCCAAGGAAGGGGUGCGGCUAAGAGGGGGGGAGGAGUCCAUCCUCCCCAAGGCACCUCGGAGGUGCCUUCCCCCUUUAGGACUCUCCCCUUUUUCCUAUAUCUUGGCGCAUGGGCCUCUAGGGGCUGGUGCCCUUGGCCCAUGUAGGCCAAGGCGCACCCCCCUACAGCCCAUGUGGCCCCCCGGGGCAGGUGGCCCCACCCGGUGGGCCCCCGGGACCCUUCCGGUGGUCCCGGUACAAUACCGAUGACCCCGAAACUUGUCCCGAUGGCCGAAACAGGACUUCCUAUAUAUAAAUCUUUACCUCCGGACCAUUCCGGAACUCCUCGUGACGUCCGGGAUCUCAUCCGGGACUCCGAACAACAUUCGGUAACCACAUACAAACUUCCUUUAUAACCCUAGCGUCAUCGAACCUUAAGUGUGUAGACCCUACGGGUUCGGGAGACAUGUAGUCAUGACCGAGAUGUUCUCCGGUCAAUAACCAACAGCGGGAUCUGGAUACCCAUGUUGGCUCGCACAUGUUCCACGAUGAUCUCAUCGGAUGAACCACGAUGUCAAGGACUCAAUCAAUCCCGUAUACAAUUCCCUUUGUCUAGCGGUAUGGUACUUGCCCGAGAUUCGAUCGUCGGUAUACCGAUACCUUGUUCAAUCUCGUUACCGGCAAGCCUCUUUACUCGUUCCGUAACACAUCAUCCCGUGAUCAACCCCUUGGUCACAUUGUGCACAUUAUGAUGAUGUCCUACCGAGUGGGCCCAGAGAUACCUCUCCGUUUACACGGAGUGACAAAAUCCCAAUCUCGAUUCGUGCCAACCCAACAGACACUUUCAGAGAUACCCGUAGUGUACCUUUAUAGCCACCCAGUUACGUUGUGACGUUUGGCACACCCAAAGCACUCCUACGGUAUCCGGGAGUUGCACAAUCUCAUGGUCUAAGGAAAUGAUACUUGACAUUAGAAAAGCUUUAGCAUACGAACUACAUGAUCUUGUGCUAGGCUUAGNNNNNNNNNNUGAUCAACCCCUUGGUCACAUUGUGCACAUUAUGAUGAUGUCCUACCGAGUGGGCCCAGAGAUACCUCUCCGUUUACACGGAGUGACAAAAUCCCAAUCUCGAUUCGUGCCAACCCAACAGACAUUUUCAGAGAUACCCGUAGUGUACCUUUAUAGCCACCCAGUUACGUUGUGACGUUUGGCACACCCAAAGCACUCCUACGGUAUCCGGGAGUUGCACAAUCUCAUGGUCUAAGGAAAUGAUACUUGACAUUAGAAAAGCUUUAGCAUACGAACUACAUGAUCUUGUGCUAGGCUUAGGAUUGGGUCUUGUCCAUCACAUCAUUCUCCUAAUGAUGUGAUCCCGUUAUCAACGACAUCCAAUGUCCAUGGUCAGGAAACCGUAACCAUCUAUUGAUUAACGAGCUAGUCAACUAGAGGCUUACUAGGGACAUGGUGUUGUCUAUGUAUCCACACAUGUAUCUGAGUUUCCUAUCAAUACAAUUCUAGCAUGGAUAAUAAACGAUUAUCAUGAACAAGGAAAUAUAAUAAUAAUCAAUUUAUUAUUGCCUCUAGGGCAUAUUUCCAACAAGAAACGGGGAACAAACUGAUGAAAGAAUGAUCAUACCGAGGGAAUUCACUCAGAACUAACAAGAAUGAUAACGUGCUUUGACUGGAGCGGUUUAAAAACUGCUGGAAGGCUCUAGGGGAAUAAAGAUGGAAUGCCUUCAAAUUUCUAGGUCCGUAUGAUUUGAAAUACUUGCACACAAACCGCGCGAAAGCGUUCCUGGAAAUCUCAGCCCAAAAAAGGACGUUUAGUAAUUCUAAAAGGGACUACAGAAUGAAAAACAAUAGUUUUGGCAGUUAAAGUUUGAGAUUCGAUGGUGCCGUAGAUCCGUUUGGUCAUCAGGUGUAACGAGCCACACCCAUGUCUAGCUAGAGUAGUGUGCUAGGCUCAGGCUAGAGAAGAAACGGGGAACAAACUGAUGAAAGAAUGAUCAUACCGAGGGAAUUCACUCAGAACUAACAAGAAUGAUAACGUGCUCCGACUGGAGCGGUUUAGGAACUGCUGGAAGGCUCUAGGGGAAGAAAGAAGGAAUGACUUCUAAUUUUUAGGUCCGUAUGAUUUGAAAUACGUGCACACAAACCGCGCGAAAGCGUUCCUGGAAAUCUCAGCCCAAAAAAGGACGUUUAGUAUUCUAAAAGGGACUACAGAAUGAAAAACAAUAGUUUUGGCAGUUAAAGUUUGAGAUUCGACGGUGCCGUAGAUCCGUUUGGUCAUCAGGUGUUACGAGCCACACCCAUGUCUAGCUAGAAUAGUGUGCNNNNNNNNNNNNNNNNNNNNNNNNNCGUAUGAUUUGAAAUACGUGCACACAAACCGCGCGAAAGCGUUCCUGGAAAUCUCAGCCCAAAAAAGGACGUUUAGUAUUCUAAAAGGGACUACAGAAUGAAAAACAAUAGUUUUGGCAGUUAAAGUUUGAGAUUCGACGGUGCUGUAGAUCCGUUUGGUCAUCAGGUGUUACGAGCCACACCCAUGUCUAGCUAGAAUAGUGUGCUAGGCUCAGGCUAGAGAAGAAAAGGGGAACAAACUAAUGAAAGAAUGAUCAAUACGAGGGAAUUCACUCAGAACUAACAAUAAUGAUAACGUGCUCCGACUGGAGCGGUUUAGGAACUGCUGGAAGGCUCUAGGCGAAUAAAGAUGGAAUGACUUCUAAUUUUUACGUCCGUAUGAUUUGAAAUACUUGCACACAAACCACGCAAAAGCGUUCCUGGAAAUCUCGGCCUAAAAAGGACGUUUAGUAAUUCUAAAAGGGACUACAGGAUGAAAAAUAAUAGUUUGGGCAGUUAAAAUUUGAGAUUCGACGGUGCCGUAGAUCCGUUUGGUCAUCAGGUGUUACGAGCCACACCCAUGUCUAGCUAGAAUAGUGUGUUAGGCUCAGGCUAGAGAAGAAACGAGGAACAAACUGAUGAAAGAAUGAUCAUACCAAGGGAAUUCACUCAGAACUAACAAGAAUGAUAACGUGCUCCGACUGGAGCAGUUUAGAAACUGCUGGAAGGCUCUAGGGGAAUAAAGAUGGAAUGACUUCUGAUUUUUAGGUCCGUAUGAUUUGAAAUACGUGCACACAAACCCCGCGAAAGCGUUCCUGGAAAUCUCAGCCCAAAAAAGGACGUUUAGUAAUUCUAAAAGGGACUACAACAUGAAAAACAAUAGUUUUGGCAGUUAAAGUUUGAGAUUUCAUGGUGCCGUAGAUCUGUUUGGUCAUCAGGUGUUACGAGCCACACCCAUGUCUAGCUAGAAUAGUGUGUUAGGCUCAGGCUAGAAAAGAAACGGGAAACAAAGUGAUGAAAGAAUGACCAUACCGAGGGAAUUCACUCAGAACUAACAAGAAUGAUAACAUGCUCCGACUUGAGCGGUUUAGGAACUGCUGGAAGGCUCUAGGGGAAUAAAGAUGGAAUGACUUCUAAUGUUUAGGUCCGUAUGAUUUGAAAUACUUGCACAUAAACCGCACAAAAGCGUUCCUGGAAAUCUCAGCCCAAAAAAGGACGUUUAGUAAUUCUAAAAGGGACUACAGGAUGAAAAACAAUAGUUUUGGCAGUUAAAGUUUGAGAUUCGACGGUGCCGUAGAUCCGUUUGGUCAUCAGGUGUUACGAGCCACACCCAUGUCUAGCUAGAAUAGUGUGUUAGGCUCAGGCUAGAGAAGAAACUUGGAACAAACUGAUGAAAGAAUGAUCAAACCAACGGAAUUCACUCAGAACUAACAAUAAUGAUAACGUGCUCCGACUGGAGCAGUUUAGGAACUGCUGGAAGGCUCUAGGGGAAUAAAGAUGGAAUGACUUCUAAUUUUUAGGUCCGUAUGAUUUGAAAUACUUGCACGCAAACCGCGCGAAAGCGUUCCUGGAAAUAUCAGCCCAAAAAAGGACGUUUAGUAAUUCUAAAAGGGACUACAGGAUGAAAACAAUAGUUUUGGCAGUUAAAGUUUGAGAUUCAACAGUGCCGUAGAUCCGUUUGGUCAUCAGGUGUUAUGAGCCAUACCCAUGUCUAGCUAGAGUAGUGUGCUAGGCUCAGGCUAGAGAAGAAACAGGGAACAAACUGAUGAAAGAAUGAUCAUACCGAGGGAAUUCACUCAGAACUAACAAGAAUGAUAACGUGCUCCGACUGGAGCGGUUUAGGAACUGCUGGAAGGCUCUAGGGGAAUAAAGAUGGAGUGACUUCUAAAUUUUUAGGUCCGUAUGAUUUAAAAUACUUGCACACAAACCGCACGAAAGCGUUCCUUGAAAUCUCAGCCCAAAAAAGGACGUUUAGUAAGUCUAAAAGGGACUAUAGGAUGAAAAACAAUAGUUUUGGCAGUUAAAGUUUGAGAUUCGAUGGUGCCGUAGAUCUGUUUGGUCAUCAGGUGUUACGAGCCACACCCAUGUCUAGUUGGAAUAGUGUGCUAGGCUCAGACUAGAGAAGAAACAGGGAACAAACUGAUGAAAGAAUGAUCAAACCGAGGAAAUUCACUCAGAACUAACAAUAAUGAUAACAUGCUCCGACUGGAGCGGUUUAGGAACUGCUGGAAGGCUCUAGGGGAAUAAAGAUGGAAUGACUUCUAAAUUUUUAGGUCCGUAUGAUUUGAAAUAGUUGCACACAAACUGCGCGAAAGCGUUCCUGGAAAUCUCAGCCCAAAAAAGGACGUUUAGUAAUUCUAAAAGGGACUAUAGGAUGAAAAACAAUAGUUUUGGCAGUUAAAGUUUGAGAUUCGACGGUGCCGUAGAUCCGUUUGGUCAUCACGUGUUACAAGCCACACCCAUGUCUAGCUAGAGUAGUGUGCUAGGCUCAGACUAUAGAAGAAACGGGGACCAAACUGAUGAAAGAAUGAUCAAACCGAGGAAAUUCACUCAGAACUAACAAUAAUGAUAACAUGCUCCGACUGGAGCGGUUUAGGAACUACUGGAAGGCUCUAGGGGAAUAAAGAUGGAAUGACUUCUAAAUUUUUAGGUCCGUAUGAUUUUAAAUAGUUGCACACAAACUGCGCGAAAGCGUUCCUGGAAAUCUCAGCCCAAAAAAGGACGUUUAGUAAUUCUAAAAGGGACUACAGGAUGAAAAACAAUAGUUUGGGCAGUUAAAAUUUGAGAUUCGACGGUGCCGUAGAUCCGUUUGGUCAUCAGGUGUUACGAGCCACACCCAUGUCUAGCUAGAGUAGUGUGCUAGGCUCAGGCUAGAGAAGAAACAGGGAACAAACUGAUGAAAGAAUGAUCAUACCGAGGGAAUUCACUCAGAACUAACAAGAAUGAUAACGUGCUCUGACUGGAGCGGUUUAAGAACUGUUGGAAGGCUCUAGGGGAAUAAAGAUGGAAUCACUUCAAAUUUUUACGUCCGUGUGAUUUGAAAUACUUGCACACAAACCGCACGAAAGCGUUCCUGGAAAUCUCAGCCCAAAAAAGGACGUUUAGUAAGUCUAAAAGGGACUACACGAUGAAAAACAAUAGUUUUGGCAGUUAAAGUUUGAGAUUCGACAGUGCCGUAGAUCCGUUUGGUCAUCAGGUGUAACGAGCCACACCCAUGUCUAGAUAGAGUAGUGUGCUAGGCUCAAACUAGAGAAGAAACGGGGAACAAACUGAUGAAAGAAUGAUCAUACCGAGGGAAUUCACUCAGAAAUAACAAGAAUGAUAACGUGCUCUGACUGGAGCGGUUUAGGAACUGCUGGAAGGCUCUAGGGGAAUAAAGAAGGAAUGACUUCUAAUUUUUAGGUCCGUAUGAUUUGAAAUACGUGCACACAAACCCCGAGAAAGCGUUCCUGGAAAUCUCGACCCAAAAAAGGACGUUUAGUAAUUCUAAAAGGGACUACGGGAUGAAAAACAAUAGUUUUGGCAGUUAAAGUUUGAGAUUCGAUAAUGCCGUAGAUCCAUUUGGUCAUCAGGUGUAACGAGCCACACCCAUGUCUAGCUAGAGUAGUGUGCUAGGCUCAGACUAGAGAAGAAACAGGGAACAAACUGAUGAAAGAAUGAUCAUAUCGAGGGAAUUCACUCAGAACUAACAAGAAUGAUAACAUGCUCCGACUUGAGCGGUUUAGGAACUGCUGGAAGGCUCUAGGGGAAUAAAGAUGGAAUGACUUCUAAUUUUUAGGUCCGUAUGAUUUGAAAUACUUACACACAAACCACGCGAAAGCGUUCCUGGAAAUCUCAGCCCAAAAAAGGACGUUUAGUAAUUCUAAAAGGGACUACAUGAUGAAAAACAAUAGUUUUCGCAGUUAAAGUUUGAGAUUCGACGGUGCCGUAGAUCCGUUUGGUCAUCAAGUGUUACGAGCCACACCCAUGUCUAGCUAGAAUAGUGUGUUAGGCUCAGCCUAGAGAAGAAACGGGGAACAAACUGAUGAAAGAAUGAUCAUACCGAGGGAAUUCACUCAGAACUUACAAGAAUGAUAACGUGCUCCGACUUGAGCGGUUUAAGAACUGUUGGAAGGCUCUAGGGGAAUAAAGAUGGAAUCACUUCAAAUUUUUACGUCCGUGUGAUUUGAAAUACUUGCACACAAACCCCGAGAAAGCGUUCCUGGAAAUCUCGGCCGAAAAAAGGAUGUUUAAUAAUUCUAAAAGGGACUACAGGAUGAAAAACAAUAGCUUUGGCAGUUAAAGUUUGUGAUUCGAUGGUGCCGUAGAUCUGUUUGGUCAUCAGGUGUUAUGAGCCACACCCAUGUCUAGCUAGAAUAGUGUGUUAGGCUCAGGCUAGAG
rnacentral:lncRNA from 1 species